UACGUAGGGUGCGAGCGUUGUCCGGAGUUACUGGGCGUAAAGAGCUCGUAGGUGGUUUGUCGCGUUGUUCGUGAAAACUCACAGCUCAACUGUGGGCGUGCGGGCGAUACGGGCAGACUGGAGUACUGCAGGGGAGACUGGAAUUCCUGGUGUAGCGGUGGAAUGCGCAGAUAUCAGGAGGAACACCGGUGGCGAAGGCGGGUCUCUGGGCCGAUACUGACGCUGAGGAGCGAAAGCGUGGGGAGCGAACAGG
rnacentral:rRNA from 1 species